UGGAAACUGAAGUGGAGCUCAGGAGCUGAACUGGUGUGUCUCUCUGAACACUAGAAUCUUGCUUGGGACAAAUCUUGUGAGUUUGAGAAAUGAUGGAAGAAGUGUGGAACAACACGUAGGUCUGGCUGCCAGUUUCCUUCACCAACAUUCAUAAAUUUGAGGUGCACAGAGAAACUUGGAUUUAUGAUGAGAAGAUUCUGCAAGUUAUAGUUGCAAUAAUCUCUGGCGCAGUUUAAAGAAAGAGAAGCAUGGAUAAAAUUAAAUUGCUCAGAUAAUUGAAAAAAGAAAGAAAUUUGCAAAUUAUACCAUUUCCUUGGAUGCUGCAGUAAAAUAGAGAUACUAUAAUGAGACUCACCACAGGGGGCAGUGGUGAAAGAUAGCCUAUUGACGACUAGAGCACAUUCAUUCAGUCUUCUACUGAUAUAUGGUUAUUAUUGUUAUUUUACUUGAAACUUUAUUGAACUCUAUUAUGAAACUUUAUAGCAUAGUAACAUCAUUAUAAGUAACCCAAGUCUCCAGGAAAUCAUGAAAAAAAGCAGACUGAAGUAAAGGAUUAAAUAGUCUUAUUUAAAUGAAAGAAAUAUUCUGCUUCUAAUUAGAGACAAGUAUAGUAUUGUUCAGCUUUGAGUGCACAGAUUUUCUAACAUAUAAUGUCUAAGUCUACAAAGAGCUGGCCAUAUCUGUAAAAGGAUAACUAAUUAAUGGUGAGCUUGGCCGUAGCAAAACAAAAUUUUAUGAGACAGGGACACUGGGUAUGUAGCUCCUUAUCUUGAUUUGGUUAUUACAUCACAUAAGUCACCAUAAUUUUUCCACUAGUACAAAAUCAUACCAUGCCAAUGGAAUGAUUAAUGUUUUCUUUCAUCUUCUUCAAGGAACUGGCUAAUAUUAAUUGAAAUAAAAUUAUGCUUUGUUGAAUUUGGACAAAAACUAAGAUAUGUAUGACUAAGUACAAGAGUACUUUAUUCCAGAAAAAGAUCUUUCUAUAAACUGGAUUGCUUUAUUGUAAGUUCUAUUUUUACAUCGGUCUUCUUUUUUAAAUUGAAUAAGCAUUUCAACUUUAGAAUCAGAAAGGGUUAAAAUAUUACCAAAUUUCACCAAAGAAUGUGUUAAAAUAAUUUUUUGA